rnacentral:lncRNA from 1 species
GGAUAACACUGGUCCCAGGAGCACACACACAGUGAUAUGGUAGCAAAUACACGACAGAUGAGUAAUAAACCUUUACAUAAGGUGUUCUGGUCCCGUCUCCAUCUGCAGGGCUCAGACUGAAGUAGAAAAUGGAACAAGAGGAGAGAAAGGUAUUGAGUCAGCUUUACCAUCGCAACGAUGGCAACGCCGCCGAUCAUCAUGCACGUGGGCCAGAAGAGCGAGUGGAACAGCACGUUGGAGCUGUACAGUUUGGUCAAUAUCACGUUCUUCUGAGUGCCCUCAGGAUCAUAGAAGCAGGAGAAGCGUUGAUACUUUCGGAAGUUUUCCAUCACAACGUUCACCAUUGACAUGGAUUCCUCGUAAUUCUUGCCACACUUGGAAUCAUCCAGGCAGCACCCGAAGCGUGAGAACCGCACCCCUCUGAGCCCUGGCACCACCAUAACAUGGACAUGGUAGUACACGCGGAAGAGGUUCCUCUUCUACUGUCUGCAAAAUGGCAG